GCUUACGGCCAUACCAGCCCAAGAACGCCCGGUCUCGUCUGAUCUCGGAAGCUAAGAAGGCUUGGGCCUGUUUAGUACCUGGAUGGGAGACCUCCUGGGAAUACCAGGUGCUGUAAGCU
ensembl:rRNA 5S_rRNA 5S ribosomal RNA